GACGAACGCUGGCGGCGCGCUUAACACAUGCAAGUCGAGCGAGAACCGGGACUUCGGUCCUGGGGACAGCGGCGAACGGGUGAGUAACACGUGGGUAAUCUGCCCUCGAUUCUGGGAUAGCCCGGGGAAACCCGGAUUAAUACCGGAUAGCCUUUCGAGCUUUCGGGCUUGAAAGAAAAGGUAGCUUCGGCCUCCGAUCGAGGAUGAGCCCGCGGUGGAUUAGCUUGUUGGCGGGGUAAUGGCCCACCAAGGCGACGAUCCAUAGCUGGUCUGAGAGGACGAUCAGCCACACUGGGACUGGGACACGGGCCAGACUCCUACGGGAGGCAGCAGUAAGGAAUAUUGCGCAAUGGGCGAAAGCCUGACGCAGCGACGCCGCGUGGGGGAUGAAGGUCUUCGGAUUGUAAACCCCUUUCGGGAGGGAAGAUGGAAUGGGGUAACCCAUUCGGACGGUACCUCCAGAAGCAGCCACGGCUAACUUCGUGC
rnacentral:rRNA from 1 species